CUGUAGCUCCAGCCCAAACCAGUCUGGAAAAACAAACAAAAAAGGAUGCGGCUGGGUAACAACGUGGGGGACCCUGUAGACAGCCACAAAAAUAAAAUUGCUGCCCUAAACGGAGUAUACACAGUAUGUGUCCGGGCCUUAAAAGGUGAAGAAUAUUUAGACAGAUGAAGAGCAUUCCAGGUGGAAAGAACCAUAUAAGCAGACAUUGGAAAGCAGGGUUUCUUCAAACACCUUUGGUGAGGGCAAGGGAGGGAUGGUGCAAGUCUGGAUAUGUGAGUCUGGGUGACCAUGGGAAGAACUGCAAAGACCACAGAGCUGGAAUAUGUGAUGCCUCCAAGCCUUCUAGCCUUGGCCAAAACAAUGUCCUCCAUGAGGCAGGCCUGGGGCUCUCAAGGAGCUAUGGCCCUCAGUGUGUGGUUCUCAAACCAGCACCAUUGGUGUCACGUGUGAGAUUACUGAACAUGAAAAUCCAGGGUGCACUAAAUCAGAAACACUGGGGAAGAGGUCCAGGAAAUGGGUCUUAACAACUCUCCAACCGAUUCUUACGCAGGCCAACCACUGAUAUAGAUGACUCCAGCUCUCCGAGUGGGUCUUUUUAAAUGUUAGGUCCUGGGGCCAGGAAGAAACAGAAUAUCACUCUUCCUUGGUGCAAUGGAAGGAAUUAGAGGGAUUUUAGGGGUGUAGGGGAAGGCAACAGUGCUCUGGGGACUACUUUAUGCCCAGUGAGAAAUUGGUUCUAAUCAUUCUGCAUCUAUGAAGUCCAUAAAGGACCAAGUUCAAGCCUCCGCAGUCAGGAGCCACUUCACUGUGUACCCCAGGUGACAGCCCAGCACUUGUUCUAGGACUGGGUCGGGUGGGGAGGGAGAUGUCUUCAGAAACUCAAGAAGGAAAGGGAGCUUUCUCCUGGAGAGUGUCCACCGCGUCGGGCGCCCUCUGUCAGGGCUGACUCAGAGUUUAAUGGGACACUUUAUGACACUUUAAUUAGCAUUUGUUUACUAUUAUUGCAUUUUAAUUAUGCCUGAGGCUCCUUGGCCCCCUCCACUCUGAGUGCUGGGAUCUGGGGGUGGCUGGGCUGGCGGGUGAGUGUGGCAAUGGGAAUUAUACAAUGGGAGGGUGCCCUUCUCCUGCCCCCUAUGGCCUUCUCCCCAGGACCCGCAGUGCUGCUUCAAACUGGAUUCCACCCUCAUGCUUGACAUUCUUUUCUGCUUGAUCUUAUGGCUUGUAACUACACCUUUAAUGAAUAUAACUGUCCUGUUAAGUCAUUUACUUAAGAAAUACUCUUAAUUAAAGGUGACUCACACUGUG